UACAGAGGGUGCGAGCGUUAAUCGGAAUUACUGGGCGUAAAGCGUGCGUAGACGGUUAUGUAAGUCGGAUGUGAAAGCCCCGGGCUUAACCUGGGAAUGGCAUUCGAGACUGCAUAGCUAGGAUGCGGAAGAGGGAAGUGGAAUUUCCGGUGUAGCGGUGAAAUGCGUAGAUAUCGGAAGGAACACCAGUGGCGAAGGCGGCUUCCUGGCCUGUUCUUGACGCUGAGGCGCGAAAGCUAGGGGAGCAAACGGG
rnacentral:rRNA from 1 species